rnacentral:rRNA from 1 species
UACGUAGGGUGCGAGCGUUAAUCGGAAUUACUGGGCGUAAAGCGUGCGCAGGCGGUUCGUUGUGUCUGAUGUGAAAGCCCCGGGCUUAACCUGGGAAUGGCAUUGGAAACUGGCGAGCUUGAGUGUGGCAGAGGGGGGUGGAAUUCCGCGUGUAGCAGUGAAAUGCGUAGAGAUGCGGAGGAACACCGAUGUCGAAGGCAGCCCCCUGGGCCAACACUGACGCUCAGGCACGAAAGCGUGGGGAGCAAACAGG